CAGUCGCCACGGUAAAACGGAGGGUGCAAGCGUUAAUCGGAAUUACUGGGCGUAAAGCGCACGCAGGCGGUCUGUCAAGUCAGAUGUGAAAUCCCCGGGCUUAACCUGGGAACUGCAUUUGAAACUGGCAGGCUAGAGUCUUGUAGAGGGGGGUAGAAUUCCAGGUGUAGCGGUGAAAUGCGUAGAGAUCUGGAGGAAUACCGGUGGCGAAGGCGGCCCCCUGGACAAAGACUGACGCUCAGGUGCGAAAGCGUGGGGAGCAAACAGGAUUAGAUACCCCAGUAGUCCCUGUCUCUUAUAC
rnacentral:rRNA from 1 species